rnacentral:misc_RNA from 1 species
AUUUUUUGAUGUAUUGGAUUGUUUAACAAUGGCGGAAAAUACGAGCUCGUACUACUAAGGAUGUGAUUUCUACACGAUAGGGGCAUUUUGGAUAAGAAAUUGAGCUAUGUUUCCCUAUAUUUUUAUCCUUUUAAGUUUUGCCAUCGACCAGUCACACAGUCAAGCUGGAACCAAUGCACCAAGGCUGGCACUGUAUCCUCCUCCAUUCACAACAACAUCUACAAGAUUUGGGCAAUGCCCAGAAUGCAGUAAACAACCCACCAUGUGGAAACCCUAGCAUCAUAGCCACCACUGCAGCACCCCCUACCCAAGGCCCUGGUGUAACUGCUCCAACAGCUGGUGACUGGGGCGUUCUAGAGGUUCAGGCUUUACAACCUGAUCAGCAAAUAUAUCAUCAGCCUGUCAAAGUGUCGCGGAAUGUGGCAGCCACUGAGUCCGUGCGGGAAUAUGUGGUGGUCAGCUGCUGCACUCUUGCUCUGACCCAGAAUCUGCAGGUCGCCACUUUGGUGGUGGCUGAUCUCAGUAGGAACAGGACAGUCAACUGGGAUCAAGCAGCAGCUCGAGUAAAUAUUGAUACAGGGACAGCAUACCAGAAUCCAGCUUUUGUCAAUAUUUCACCAUGCCCAUGUGACAUUACCCAGAAUGCCUGUGAUAUGGAUUGCUGCUGUGACAAUGACUGUACAGCAUCAGAUACAAGUUCCUUUCGGGGGUGCAUCAGUGGACUCCCUGGGGGUCAGGCAGCACCUUACCCUGAGUAUUACUGUAAGUCAGCUCACGUUCCGAAGGAGGACUGGUUCCCACUGAUGUGUGUGGAGAGGGAGUAUAAUGCUCUUAUUGGAUUCUAUUAUGCUGCUUCCACCACCAUAAGAAACUCCGAAGCUCUGGACAACAAAGUAGCAUCAGAAAGCUUCUAUUCAUACAGCCGUCCCAGUUUGUCAACAUCUCAGACCACCAUCUAUAAAAAAGGAACAUCUGUGAAGUCUAUUACAGCAGGUGUAGCUGCCAGGAGGGUGGGGACAGUGGUUCUCCCCCAGAGGAUUCUGUCCGGUCAAUGUUUGACCACCGCUCCUGUCCGCUACCUGGAGGAUCAGCAGUCUGACUGCACCUUUUCACUGACCAGAGAUCUGUGUAGCAGUGACAGCAUCUUCAGUGGCUAUUUCUACCUGCAGCCUUCCUCCAAUCCACUAGCCUUUGCUGUCCAAGGUAGUCCAACAGAUGAUAAUGCAGCAGAGACCAAUGUCAAUUAUUUCUGUACAUCAGAUUUCUCUGGCUAUGUCAAAAACUCCUCAGCAACCAUUCCUAAUGUCACAACCUCAACUUUCUUCAACUUUGCCCUACCCUCUAAUACAGCUUGUUUAGAUGUGUGUGGGAAUUACAUUUGUGAAGAAGGUGUAAUAACUGACACCGCCGAGCCCACCAGGGGGACUCGCUGUCCAUUUGACAAUGGGUCCACUCUCCCGCCAGUACCCAACAUCAAUGGCAAUACUUGCGAGAAUGCUGUGUUAGAUGUGAAGUAUGAAUUUCAGUGGAAAGGCACAAGAAUAGUUAAGGUAGAUGCGACUGUGAUUUUGGGCAAUGUUCCACUGUCAGCUGAGGUCACUCAGAGGUAUGAAGCCAAGUUCAACCAUCAGUAUGUCGCCAAUGGAACAGUUGCUUCAGAUAAUUACAGAAACGUCACCACAACGUACGACCGCUCAACAGGAUAUGAUUUUGGGAAGCCUCUACAGAGUGGCAUGGAGAUUAUUAAUCAGACAGACAACACGUUCAUGUACGUCAACACCAACAGAUCCCAGCAAAUGGCUGUGUGGGACACAGGUGCAGAUGGACUGUGUUUCAAUGCUGGCAGAAGGCAGAUUGAGUUUGGGAAUGAUGUUUUCUCUAGUUGUUUUGUCAAGCUUUCACUGCAAGACCUCAAUAACUGUUCCAAUAUUAGGAAAACAUUAGUCAACAGAUUAAAUAAUUUAAUGAAAGCAGAUAAAAUUGGUCGCCUUGGCAACAAUAACUACUUGAAUUCAGCUUAUUGGAUCAACGUAGCAAGAGAGGAUAUAUCAGCUGAAUGUACAGGGUAUCUGGCAUCUCUAGAUGAUGCUACUAAUAACAGUAGACUAUCCUACGAGGCCCGCGGACUGUGUGUAGACAUCAUCAGCGGCAUCCACCUCGAUGUUAUGUACGCCGUCACCGGGAAACUGAAUGCCACUCCCAUUUAUGAAGUCAUUGGGUCCAGAAUAAGCUAUGUUAAGUCUGAGUGGCAGUUGACGUGUCCUAAAGGGGAGACAAAUGCUUGCAACACGCCAGGUUUUGUGGACACUUUUGAGGUCACCAGCUCUGUCAGAUUUACUUUGGUGCCAGGCAACAGACCAGAAAGACUACCAAGGUACCAGGAUAGUAAGUACAAGGACAUCUGUUCUCAGGACGUUUGCUGGGAAGCGUUCAUCUACCCGAUCUCCUCUUACUACGAGGGUGUGGACAAAGAUCAGGUCCUCGUCCAGGUCCUCCUCAUCAUUGUCAUCCUCAUUGGCUUCCUAGUCUUCCUCAGGCCUUGGUGGUAUAUCAUCUGAUCAUCGCUAGGAUCAUCUGAUCAUAGGCUAGGAACUGUGAUAUUACUAAUGCUCUGAGAACCUGAAUUGAUUGAUCGUCUAGAAAGUCGAAGAAUGAGUGACAAAGUGAAAAUAAGGAUAAAGGUUGUUUAUAGAUAUAGGAUGGUGGAUGGAAGGAACAAAAGGUUUCUAAAGAAUUUAACAUUCACCUGUGGCAGGACUUUGUUAUGAAUGACUGUGAGGAUAAGACAGUGAUAAAAACUCCAGAUAUAAUGAUUUUCUUAUGUUACAAAAGAGAUGAAGUGUCAGCUUUGAUGGAUGUCAUUCUUGACAUGGAAUGGUAUAGUUUAAAUAUAAUUACCAGAUCCUCUGUGUCAGAGACUUAAUGUUUGUCAAGUUUAUUCCGUCCAAUCUAAGGCUUGUGUGUCAGAAAUGUUUUGAUAUUUGCCAAUGAUUUUGUGAACACUACAUGUAAGACCAUUUGUUUUGAAUGUAUAGUUUACAUUAUCAGUAAUUUAAACAUGUUAGUGCAGAAAUUAUGUACGCAAGUGCUUGUUUGUACAUGUAUGAUUUACUGUGAAAAAUGAUUAUCAUGAAUUAGAAUUUACAUGUAUGUGUAUUUAUACAAUAAUAAAUUAUUUUUUAUACAAUGG